AGUGUGGAAGAGAUGGGAGGGCAUGGAAAUUUGGGCCUAGGUCUGGUUUGCCACUCUUGAUAAAGUUUUUAGUUAGCAUCCCUGGAUUCCAGCUUUCUUCUUUCUGCAGGGAGCAAUUUUACUGAGUGUUAUCCUAUGAAGUUGCCAAGAAAAUUAAGUAUAAUAAUGCCUUUGAAAGUUCUUGAGAAAGAACUAAUUAUUCCACAAAUACAUAGGCAAUGCAGAUCUGCAGCAAGUGGACAUACGGAUAUUAUUAUGGCUGCCAUCAAUUCCUCCCAUUACACAAUGAGAAUUACCCACCACCAUCACUACCAUCGAGAGAAGCCAGGCUCUACAAAAGAUGUCCAGCUACCCUGUGGAACUUCAAGCUAGACACAGAGAGAGGUCACAGGAAAGAGCACACAGGUAUGAGGCAUGUGAGCAAGGCCUCCUGGACCUCUGGCCCAGCCUAACCCAGCCAGCAGCUGAGAGCAGCCGAAUGAGUGACACCAUUUGAUGCCACAUGGAACGGAAGAAUUGCUUGCACAAGUGCCACCCCAGUUACACAAUUACGAGAAAUAAU